rnacentral:rRNA from 1 species
GACGAACGCUGGCGGCGUGCUUAACACAUGCAAGUCGAACGGAAAGGCCCUGCUUUUGUGGGGUGCUCGAGUGGCGAACGGGUGAGUAACACGUGAGUAACCUGCCCUUGACUUUGGGAUAACUUCAGGAAACUGGGGCUAAUACCGGAUAGGAGCUCCUGCUGCAUGGUGGGGGUUGGAAAGUUUCGGCGGUUGGGGAUGGACUCGCGGCUCAUCAGCUUGUUGGUGGGGUAGUGGCUUACCAAGGCUUGGACGGGUAGCCGACCUGAGAGGGUGACCGGCCACAUUGGGACUGAGAUGCGGCCCAGACUCCUACGGGAGGCAGCAGUGGAGAAUAUUGCACAAUGAGCGGAAGCCUGAUGCAGCAACGCCGCGUGCGGGAUGACGGCCUUCGGGUUGUAAACCGCUUUCGCCUGUGACGAAGCGUGAGUGACGGUAAUGGGUAAAGAAGCACCGGCUAACUACGUG